rnacentral:rRNA from 1 species
UACGUAGGGGGCGAGCGUUACCCGGAUUUACUGGGCGUAAAGCGCGUGUAGGCGGCUGGCCAAGCGUGGUGUGAAAUCUUCGGGCUUAACCCGAAAACUGCAUUGCGAACUGGUCUGGCUAGAGUGUGUGAGAGGGUAGUGGAAUUCCCGGUGUAGCGGUGAAAUGCGUAGAUAUUCGCAAGAACACCAGUGGCGAAGGCGGCUCACUGGCCCGGUACUGACGCUGAGGUGCGAAAGCGUGGGGAGCAAACAGG